UGUCGUGAUGAUACUUGUAAUAGGAAGUGCCGUCAGAAGCGAUAACUGACGAAAGCUACUCUUGUCUGAUU
ensembl:snoRNA